rnacentral:misc_RNA from 1 species
GAUGAAGAACGUAGCGAAAUGCGAUAAGUAAUGCGAAUUGCAGAAUUUCCGUGAGUCAUCGAAUCUUUGAACGCACAUUGCGCCCACUGGUAUUCCGGUGGGCAUGCCUGUUCGAUCGUCAUUAUCCUCCCUCAAACCCCGGGUUUGGUGUUGGACCCAAGUUGUGUGAACAACUGGUCUCAAAGACAAUGACGGCGUCCGUGGGACCCUCGGUGCAACGAGCUUUUAGGAGCACGCAUCGAGUUGCAAGGACCUUCCGGGCCGGUCUCCUUUACCAUUUUACAAGGUUGACCUCGGAUCAGGUAGGAAUACCCGCUGAACUUAAGCAUAUCAAUAAGCGGAGGA